rnacentral:ncRNA from 1 species
AUGAAAGCGAUGAAGAAUCGAGUAUGUUGCAGUCCAUCUUAAAAGAGAGGGGCUUCCGAGGCUGAAAGAAGCUCUAGAUGAAGGGCAACAGAACGCUAAUUCUGAGUGCAGGCAAAACCUGACGAAAAUGCCACGUUACGGCAAAUGAAGGUGAUGAGCAAUUGGCUCAUAAUCAGGGUGGUACCGCGAGUAACUCUCGUCCCUGUG